rnacentral:tRNA from 2 species
GGAGGUGUGGCCGAGUGGUUUAAGGCAGCAGUCUUGAAAACUGCCGACUGUAACAGGUCCCUGAGUUCGAAUCUCUGCGCCUCCG